GGAGUAUGGACCGUUCUCAGUUCCAUUGUGGCCGUUCAACCUCUCAGUCCGGCUACGCAUCAUCGCCUUGGUGGGCUGUUAUCUCACCAACUAGCUAAUGCGCCGCAGGCCCCUCUCUAAGUGGCAUUAUAACCUUUAAACAUCUAAGGAUGCCCUUUGUGAUGUCCUAUCCAGUAUUAUCCGUCGUUUCCAACGGUUAUCCUCGUCUUAAAGACAGGUUGCCUACGUGUUACUCACCCGUUCGCCAUGGUUUGUAUUGCUACUACCAUUCGACUUGCAUGUAUUAGGCACGCCGCCAGCGUUAAUC
rnacentral:rRNA from 1 species